AGAUGAAUAUACUUACAGUACCAGAAACCAGUACCAUCCGUGGCAGCACUCAGUACAAUGCAUUAAUGCUAGUUGCAUAUAUACUGGGGAAAUAGUAUCAGUACUUAGUAUCAUAAGUGGCAACACCUAAUACCAUAAGUGCCAGCACCCAGCACUUUGAUCACAUCGGCUGUAUCCCACCGAGAUAGUGCAGAACUAAGAAGAAGAAGCACUUUUACCAUCACUCAUGUCAUCACUGUCU